AGAAGAUGCUCCAUAAAAAACAUCUCAUGAUAUCCAGCACUUCUGCCCCAAAGCUAGCUGAGGCACUCCUGCCACUCUUUGACUGUGACAACAGCCAUCUGCAGCUGCUCUCCAUUUCCCUCUUCUGCAAGGUGAUGGAAUUGGUAGUGGAAGAGGGUAAAAAGCCCCUGAAGAGAAUUGUGAGCUGGAGCCUGCUCCCACUCUUCUUGCACUGUCAUGAUGAGAACUGGGACGUGGCAGAGGCAGGUUUCCUCGGCGCCAUUUUAGAGAGCAGUGGAGGCAGCACUUGACGGAGGUAACAAGGGUGGGUGUGAACUGCAGGGACUAACAGGUUCAACCUUGUAACAACAACUCUGCUUAUUACAACUUCAAAUCAACAGUAACAUUAGAGGUUUUACAUCUUAACAACAACAUAAUUAACACACUUAACUUACUGAAACUUCACAUUUAACAGUAACACUUUCAAUGGCCUUAACUUAUAGGAUUGUCCAUUACAACUCCCCCCUCUAUUCCUUUGAUCGGGCUGAUGCCCGCAUCAAUUUGCUGUUUCUUGCUCUUGGAAAUAAAAUUUCCUGAGUUUUUGAUAUUUAUUAUAUAUCUCUUUUGCCGUCUCGUGGUUUGGCUUCUGGCUUUCCAUCAACAUUAUUUUUGCCUGUUUUUGAGUAUUUACUCCAAGACGUCGAAUACUUGCCUGGACUGUGGAAGUUAGUAUUUUGACUAGACAAGGGAACAGACAAGGUAAAAACACCAAACCGGUUAUUGAACAGAUGGUUAUAAACGCAGCCUUUUUCCACCGUGUUCCUUUAAAGGACCAGAACUCAUCCCACCAGUUACUAUUUAUUAGAGGUGUCCAUUCCUGAUUUCCAACAUAGGCCAGUUUGCGGAUUUCCUUAGAUAUAUUUUUUAUUACUGUACUUUUAUCAUCAAUCUCCAAGCAGCACUCAGAUGAGUUGAAUUUUCCACAUAUUCCUCCUUCAUCUGCCAAUAAGUAGUCUACUGCCAACCUAAUUUGAUAAAUUACUGUUCUCGUUUGGGACAAUUGGUCACUUAUAUGUUCGAAUGCUAGCGCUGUUCGAUUUGAAACUUUUUCCAGUACUGCUUGGAGCCUGAUUAUCCUAUUUAACAUAUAGAUAGGGGUACGGUAGCCCCAGGAUCCAUCCUGAGCCCAUGUGGCUGGCCCAUAUGUUUGAAUAAUUUCUUCUGGAGUCCAUACUUUACUUCUCCAUACUUGUGUACCUCCCAUGUCAAUUACAUCUCUUUUCUUUCUAUUAUCCUUCCGUAAGUCAUCAUAUACCGGGACUCCUAAGUGUGCUCCUGAUUUCUUAGGCAAUAGGAAAAAGGCUGGUUUAAUGACCCCUAUGGUGCAACUCCCCAUCCAAUCUCCAGGUAACCUGGUGUAAGCGGUGUUUCCACAGAUCCAGAACAAAUAUUCUGGGGCUUGCCAGAACUCAUCCCCAGUUUCACCUGGGAAUUCCCAGAAGUUUGAUAGUUCCCUAAUCCCCCAGAAGGGAUUUAUUCUUUUUCCUGUACAUUUAUGGAGCUUAUAUCCUUCAUGAUAUAUACAUCCUGUCUCAGUUUUUCCAACAGCCCAAUAUGUAUUGGGUUCCUUUGGGACCCAUUUGGAAUCUUGUUCCCUUAUCAUUAUAUACCUUUUACAUGCCAUUUUUCCUACAGGGGUGUUGUAUCUUUUUCCUAUUCUCAGUAUACAUUCUUCACCUACUACUUGUGAUUUUAAAUUCCAUUUUUCUUUUCCACGGGAUGUCAAAGAUUCAUAAUCUAAUUUUGUUUGUUUCCAUCUUAGAAUUUCUAGUGGGCUUAGGCUAAUUCCCUCCCAUGGCCAAAUUUCUGUCAUUUGAGUACUUCCGCAAACCCAGCAUUCAGUUAAGUUUAACUCUUUGCUUAUCUUCUCCACCAGAUCUAUAAAUAAAUUUCUCUCUGAGGGAGCAUCCGGGAUCUCUCUCUCCCUUAUCAGCUGUUUUUCCUUUACCAAGUCUUUCAAUCCUUCAUGUUCAAAACAAAACCAGGAUUCUCCUACUGGGCACUCCCCAAGCAGGCGUUGCCUAUAAGUGGCUGUAUUCCUGGUAGUCCAAUAUACUUUCCCAUCUUCUCGACAGGUAAUUAACUGAGAGUGAUUAAAACAGCUCGGGUUUAUGUUGGUAUGGACUCUAAAGAAGGACCUCAGGUCUUCCCCAUCAUAGAUAGGAUGAUAACAUUUGGUGCAAGGGUCAUCGUCUCUGCUAAGAGCAGCACUCAUCACUAGCACCAGUACCAGUUUCCCCAAGAGUCCGGUAGGGGCCAUUUCUCCCCUGUUUGCUCCCUCCGGUCUUGCCUCUUGGAUCUAAGGUCUUCUUAGAGGUCUGAUAAGAGUCCUUUUACACUAGCUGUUUCACUCUCUAAUUACUAAUUUUCACUGCCCCUUUUUAGGAAAGCUCAGUAGGAGAAUUUAAUUUUCAUUAAUUUUCCAGAGGGAAUAAUUUUAACUUCUUAACUCUUAGAACACUAACAACAUUACAACAAAUUUCUGAACUUUUAUAGACAUAACUCUCUGAUUUCACUUUCAGUCUUUGUCAGUCCUCGGGUUUCUCUUAAGAGUUAUCUUUAGAUCUGUUGGGUUCUGGAUUACAGUCCAUUCCCGCGAACUGGUAGAUGAGGUUCCUUCUACUGGUCCGGUAGACGGAUCAAGGGAGUUGGAUCUUUCGUUGGGAGGUGUUACCGGCCCCUUAACUCUAGUAAUAUGUGUCCAACCCUUUUCUUGAGUCAAUACCGCCGUGUGAGUGGUCAGCAACACCUGAAAGGGACCUUCAAACUUAGGCAUUAGAGGCGUAUUGUUCCAUGAUUUAAUUAGUACCCAAUCCCCAGGAUGAAUAUCAUGAACAUUUGUAUCAUGAGGAGAGGUUUGAGGUAUAUAUCCCUUUUUUCUGAGGGCCUCUAACGUUUUCCCAAUUGCUCCUAAAUACUUCCGUGUAGCUUCUUCUCCAUCUAGAUAAUUUCCAGUGCUGUAGGGGGACAAUAAGAAGGGAAGCCCAAACAUCAUCUCAGAGGGGGAAACCCCUAUGUCUGCUCGAGGUCUUGUUCUAAUACGUAAUAAGGCUAAGGGCAAGCACUUUAGCCAAUUUAAUUUGGUCUCAGAUAUUAACUUUGUCAACACAUUUUUAAGUGUUUUAUUCAUCCUUUCAACUCUGCCCGAGCUCUGGGGAUGCCAUGGAGUGUGUAGUCUCCAUUUCAUCCCCAAGGCUUCAAUUAUUCGUUGUAAGGCCUGAGCAGCAAAGUGAGGCCCUCUAUCAGAAUCAAUCGUGUUUACUAAACCAUACCGGGGAAUGAUUUCUUCCAGGAUUAUCUUUGCGACCACCUCUGCAGUUUCCUUUUUGGUGGGGAAAGCUUCCACCCAAUGGGUGAGGUGAUCUACUAUUACCAAUAGAUGCUUAUAUCCCUGUGCUAGGGGCAUUUCAGUGAAAUCUAUCUGUAUAUUUUGGAAUGGUCUUAGAGCCAAUUCUCUUCCACCAGGUUCUAUUCUUCUCAUUACUUUUUGAUUAACUUUUUGACAGAUUACACCCCCUUUGGUUAUUGUCCUAGCUAAUUCAUACACUCCAAUGCAUAUGUUUUCUCUCAAGAAGUGGUCGCAUAGUCCCUGGGUUCCCCAAUGUGUUAAUUCGUGGAUUUCUGUUAAUAUCUUCCGUGCUAAUGCCUGGUUUAGAAACCUCCUCCCAUCUUGAGUUAACCAUUCACCACGUUCCCCUUGGUGUAAUUUCAAUUCCUCUAUCGCUUUUCGUUCCUUCUCACUAAAGAUUGGCCUUACUUCGUCUUCUUGUUGUCUGGCUUUCCUUUCUAGCUUGAAGAUCUUAAUUGGUUCUCCUAUUUCUAAGGCUGCCUCCUUAGCCUUUUGGUCAGCAAGUUUGUUUCCUUUUAUCUCAAAAUUAUCUCCUUUCUGGUGUCCUUUUAUGUGCACUAUUGCUAUUUCUGUUGGCUUUUGUAAAGAUUUUAAUACUAACUUUAUUAGUUCUGUAUGUACUAGAUUUUUCCCUUUAGAAUUUAAAUAUCCACGCUCUUCCCAGAUUUUGCCAAAGGUGUGUACGAUGCCAAAUGCAUAUUGCGAGUCAGUAUAUAUAGUGCCGCUAUCUUUUUCUAACAGAUCUAGUCCCCUUUUUAAUGCAAAUACUUCGCAGCACUGUGCUGACCAAUUCGAAGACAGCUUCCCCUUUUCUACAACUUCCAUAUUUUUACCAUCUAUUAUCGCAUACCCAGAAGCUCUUUUCCCAGAGACUACUCUAGAGGAUCCAUCUGUGAACAAGACUCUCCCAUAAGACUGCUGCAGCUGCAAUCGCUUGCAGGCAAGUUGGCCACCCCCGGGCUACAGGAUCUAGUAAUUUGGACAGAAAUGCUACAGGUUUUCAUGAUCCUCCCCAUUCUUGGGUAAGUACCCCAUAGGCGAUUCCUUCUUCUGCACUUACAAAUAGAUCAAAUUCCUUACUAAGAUCGGGCAAACUUAGUACAGGGGCUGAAGAUAAUUUAUUCUUUAGGUCUUGUAAUUGCCGGUCAUCAUCUAUUGUCCAUUUGAUUGGUUCUUGAUCUACCAAUUUAUUAUACAAAAACUUUACUCUCUGUGUGUAAUUAUCUAUCCACAAUUUACAGUACCCAAAUAAUCCCAGGAGUUUUCUCACAUCUCUCUUAGUUUUUGGAGCUGGGAUGGAAAGAAUUCCUGUAAUUCUUUCAGAACUUAAUUUCUUAUACCCCCUUCCAAUCACAUGUCCUAAAUAGGUGACUUCCGAUUCUACAAAUUGCAACUUAUCUCGCGAUACCUUCAGCCCCUUUUCCCCUAGAAAAUUUAAUAGUUGUAUACUGGCAGUUCUGACUUCGCUUUCCUGUUCCCCAGAGAUUAAUAGAUCAUCUACAUAUUGCAACAAUUUUAUUUCUCCGUUAGGAUGGAAUUGAUUUAAUAGCUCUUCUAGUGCCUGCCCAAACAGGUUAGGGGACUCAGUAAAUCCCUGUGGUAAGCGCGUCCACCUUAACUGCAUUUUCCGGUUUCUAUCUGGAUGUUCCCACUCAAAUGCAAACCAAUCCCGGCAAUCCUCUGCCAAGGGACAAGACCAAAAAGCAUCCUUCAGGUCUAUGAUAGUAAACCAAGCAUGUUCUCUCGGGAUUUGACUUAGCAACGUGUAAGGAUUAGGCACUACGGGGUAUCUUGCAAUAGUCUUCUUAUUUACCUCUCUCAGAUCUUGGACUAACCUGUAUUUUCCUUCGGUCUUUUUAAUGGCUAGUAUGGGGGUAUUAUGGGGGGACAUGCAGGGUUCGAGGAUGCCUUCCUUUAAUAGAUGUUCAACCACUGGUGCCAGUCCCUUCCUUCCAUCUGAUGAUAUGGGGUAUUGCUUUACCCCUAUGGGAGGAAUGUCUUUUUGCAUUUCUACCUUUAUCGGUGGAAUGUUUAAAUAUCCAUAUUUUCCCUCUUCAGCCCACACCUCGGGGUGAAUCUCCUCUAAGUCCUUUUGAGUUAACCUCAUGAGUCUAACGACCAUCUUCCCGUUAUCUGGUACAAUCCCCACUCCCAACAGGACUUGUAAAUCUCUUCCCAACAAAUUGGUUUCUAGUUUUGGCAAAUAGAUAAUAUCUACUGUACAUUGUCUCGCAUUUCCUUUUAUUUCUACAUUUUCAACAACUGGUGCUAAAAACGGUUUCCCUUCUGCUCCUAAUAUUUCACAGAUCUUAUUUCCAGGACUCAUCCCCAUUGGCAGUCUAUUAAUACUUGAUCUAUCAGCUCCUGUAUCCACAAGGAAUUCAAAGUCUUCAUCUUGGGGACCCACAUUAAAAUUUACCAGGGGCUCUUCUUGGUGUCUUAUUGGAUCCCCUAAUAGAUAAAGCCCCUGACACCCCUAGUCAUCACCCCUCAAAACCCGUUCUAAUGCUUCCCGUUCUUGCACAAUUGCUUCAUCUAGUCGCAAUUUCUUGCAAUAUCUCCUAAAGUGUCCAACCUCCCCGCAAUAAUAGCAGGUCCUAUCACUGGGUACUCCUUCUAUCUUCCUUGGUCUUUCUCCAUCCUUUCUAAAUCCUGGCUUUUCCCAAUAUCGUCCCACCGAUGGAGGUGGCUUGUUUUGCUCUAUUCCCGGGGACCGUACCGGUGAAUUACUAUCCGCCCCGAUGCUUUCCCGAGCCACAGCUACCAUUAUUUUAGCUUUUGCCUUGGCCUUCUCCUCUUCCCUUCUUAAGUAAACCUUCAGAGCCUCUUUUAGCAAGUCAUUUAUACAUUUGUCUUGCCAAUCCUCAAUUUUUUCCCACUUUCUUCUAAUGUCGGGCCAAGAUUUGGUAACGAACUGCACUUUUAAAAGUACUUGUCCUUCUGGACUAUCGGGAUCUAUAUUAGAGUAUAGCUGAAAAUUCCUCCUCAGUCUAGUAAGCCAACUCGCUGGAGUCUCAUCUUUCUCUUGGGUACCCUCAAAAGCCAAUUUAGUGUUACUACUACGAGGGACAGACUCCUUUAUACCUUUAAUUAUCAGAGACCUGUAAUCUCUCAUAUUCCUCCUGCCCUUCUCUCGAUUUGGAUCCCAUCCUGGAUCUACCAAAGGCAUCUUAAGGUCUCCAGGGGGUCCAACUCUAUUCUCCUUUUCCCAAAUCCUUAUUCCCGCUGCUCUGAUCAUCCUAACCUCCUCAGGACAAAACAAGAUAUUGAGUAUAGAAUUGAGUUCUCCCCAGGUGUAAAUAUUGGGUCCAAGGAACUGGUCCACUUGGUUUGAAAUGCCCACUGGGUCUUCUACUAAAUUUCCUAACUCCUUCUUGAAACCUCGGACUUCCGAAGCUGUGAGUGGUGCAUUUACAAAUCCUACCCCUCCUAUCAUCCCACCCAUUGGGACUUCCCUGAGAGGCAUCAUUUUUUCAGGUUUCGAUGUCUUUGACCUAGUGUUACACCAAGGGCCUUCAAUACUAUGGUCAGUUUGGGUGGUCACCUGGGAAACGGAGUCUUGUUCGUUACUGGACAAAGGGGACGCACUCAGUUUCCAAUUGGCGGGUGGUAAAGGAAUAGAUAUGGGUGUGGGGGAAGGAGGUAAAUUCAUGGUAUUAACGUCAGGAGCUAUAUUUGGGGAUAAUAAUGGAGGAUGUACAGAGGGUGGCAUACAUGUAUCAUGACUGGGGGAGGAUGAAAGAGUAACCAUAGCGACAGAUGAGGGCUCAAGUCUAGGGUUAGGAAUGUUGGAAGGAGGUGAAGUUAAAGGAGCGGUUGAGGAUGAGGGAUAGACUGUAGGAGGGACUAAAUUUGCUGCUGGAAGAAUAGGUACCGGAUUGGGAUCUGGCCUAGAAGCGUUAGGAGGAGGUGGCAGUGGAAUCAUUGUUGGAGGAACAGGUAGGGGGUCCUGCAUAGGGGCAUUAGGAGGAGGUGGCAGUGGAAUUACUGUUGGGGGAGCAGGUAUAGAAUUGGGGUUUAGGACUGGGUAAAUUGGAUGAGGAGGUGGUAGGUGAUCUAGGGGAUCCCAGGUCUUAGUGACUCUUUGUUCCCCUCCACUUUCCUCCUUAUCUUCUUCUUUUUUCUUUAAUUUACAGAUCUUCACGCUCCCUUCACUCACAACCCCACCUUGCCAACAGGCGGCAUAUGUUAGUUGUUCUAUAUCGGGAUUCUCCUGAGUUCGCAAAAACUGGUUCAGUUGGGAACACAUCCAUGGGUCAUGAGUUCCAUACCAUGGCCACCUUCCUUGUAAUUUCAGCUUUGGCCAAAUCUCUGU